CCCACCUCCCCUUCUCUUCUUUUUCUUCUUCUGUCCCGUAUAACUCAUUCUUCUCGUCUCUCCUCCCUUUCGAACACCUAAAAGAUGGCCGACUCCGGCGAAGGCCUCAUCGUGAGCUUCGGCGAGAUGCUCAUCGACUUCGUGCCGACGGUGUCGGGGGUGUCGCUGGCGGAGGCCCCGGGGUUCCUUAAGGCCCCCGGCGGCGCCCCGGCCAACGUGGCGAUCGCCGUGGCCCGACUCGGGGGGCGCGCUGCGUUCGUCGGCAAGCUGGGCGACGACGAGUUCGGCCGCAUGCUGUCGGCGAUCCUGCGGGAGAACGGCGUGGACGACACCGGCGUCACGUUUGACGCCGGGGCCCGCACCGCCCUCGCCUUCGUCACGCUUCGGGCCGACGGCGAGCGUGAGUUCAUGUUCUACCGCAACCCCAGCGCCGACAUGCUUCUCACGGAGGCCGAGCUCAACCUUGAUCUCAUCAGAAAGGCUGCAAUCUUCCACUACGGAUCGAUAAGCUUGAUCACGGAGCCCUGCAGAUCGGCUCAUCUGAAAGCCAUGGAGGUGGCCAAGGAAGCCGGGGCGCUGCUGUCGUACGACCCCAACCUCCGGUUGCCGCUUUGGACAUCGCCUGAGGAGGCUCGCAAGCAGAUCCUGAGCAUCUGGAACGAGGCAGACAUCAUAAAGGUCAGCGACGUCGAGCUCGAGUUCCUCACCGGCCAUGACUCGGUGGAAGACGAGGUGAUCGCGCAGCUCUGGCGCCCAAGCCUGAAGCUCCUCCUGGUGACGCUCGGUGAGAAGGGCUGCAAGUACUACACCAAGGAUUUCCAUGGCGCCGUCGCGUCCUUCACAGUGGAGCAGGUGGACACGACGGGGGCCGGAGACGCGUUCGUCGGCGCACUGCUCCGGCGGAUCGUCGAGGACCCGUCUGCGCUGCAGGAUGAGAAGAAGCUGAGGGAGGUGCUGAGGUUUGCCAAUGCGUGCGGGGCGAUCACCACCACCAAGAAGGGUGCAAUCCCCUCGUUGCCCAACGUAGCAGAAGCAAUGCGACUCUUUGAGAGCGCAUAGAACAUGAUUAGAUCUCGAAUUGAUCCAUAGCUACCCUUUUUUUUCUCACAAGCUCUUCUUGUGGCCUUGGAACUGCAAGGCCAUCAUCAAUUCCCUUUCUUGAUAACCCUUAGCAACCUUUUACAGAUCGAGUUGGUUUCUUGUCGAAUGGACUCUACUACCUCAGGAAGCUAUAUUGUCUGCCACCUAUAUGAUGAAAUGUGCAUGUUCCUGUGCGGUGUUCUUCUUCCUUCUUUUACCUCCUCGGAAAACAGAGGGGAUGAAUCCCUAUCUAAAGAUUCUUCCAUAUCAUGUAUCAAGAAGGAAUAUUAGAGGGAAAAGGGUGACGAAAUAAAAAGCGGCGUUUCUGGAUGGGACGAUGCAGAUACAUUCACCGAUUUCUCUCCAAUUACGAGCGAGAGGAAGCGCGAGACAACAUAUGGGGGGAGGGGAAGGGGAGGCUUGCCUGAAGCAACCAGCGGCGACGACCGUGAGAGGAUCGAAGUGACAGGAUCAGGAGGAAGCAGGAAGCAGGAAGCAGGAAGACGAAGCCAAGGACUGCUUACUUGUUCAAACCCUAACGACAAAAGGGGAUGCGAGGAAGAGGCGAAGACGCAGUGCGUACUGACGUCUCCACCGAACCAGAAAUCUGUUGUUUACCGCGCGGGGACGGCUACGGCGUAUGGGCAUUUAUAGUUAUUAGCCAGUUUAAAAUCUUGAGAAUUCUAAUUAUUAAGGGAGUGAAAUAUACUUAAUAAAAAAGAUUUCUUA